rnacentral:tRNA from 1 species
GGAGUUAUACCCAAGUGGUUUAAGGGGCGGUCUUGCUAAGACUGUAGACGAUGCAGUUAAUGUUAUCGUGCGAAGGUUCAAAUCCUUCUGGCUCCG